CCUACGGGUGGCAGCAGUGGGGAAUAUUGGGCAAUGGGCGCAAGCCUGACCCAGCAACGUCGCGUGAAGGAUGACGGCUCUAGGGUUGUAAACUUCUUUUUAGAGGGGAGAGAAGAAGACGGUACCUCUUGAAUAAGCCACGGCUAACUACGUGCCAGCAGCCGCGGUAAUACGGAGGUUGCAAGCGUUGUCCGGAUUUACUGGGUGUAAAGGGCGUGCAGCCGGGAAGACAAGUCAGAUGUGAAAUCCCGCGGCUCAACCGCAGAACUGCAUUUGAUACUGGUAUUCUUGAGUACCGGAGAGGUCAUCGGAAUUCGUUGUGUAGCGGUGAAAUGCUUAGAUAUAAGGAAGAACACCGGUGGCGAAGGCGGAUGACUGAACGGCAACUGACAGUGAGGCGCGAAAGCGUGGGGAUCAAACAGGAUUAGAUACCCCGGUAGUC
rnacentral:rRNA from 1 species